CCUACGGGAGGCUGCAGUGAGGAAUAUUGGUCAAUGGGCGGGAGCCUGAACCAGCCAAGUCGCGUGAGGGAAGACGGUCCUACGGAUUGUAAACCUCUUUUGCCGGGGAGCAACGGGGUCCUUGCGAGGGCCCAAUGAGAGUACCCGGAGAAAAAGCAUCGGCUAACUCCGUGCCAGCAGCCGCGGUAAUACGGCGGAUGCGAGCGUUAUCCGGAUUUACUGGGUGUAAAGGGGGCGCAGACGGCAAUGCAAGCCAGGAGUGAAAGCCCGGGGCCCAACCCCGGUACUGCUCUUGGAACUGCAUGGCUGGAGUACAGGAGGGGCAGGCGGAAUUCCUAGUGUAGCGGUGAAAUGCGUAGAUAUUAGGAGGAACACCGGUGGCGAAGGCGGCCUGCUGGACUGUGACUGACGUUGAGGCCCGAAGGCGUGGGGAGCAAACAGGAUUAGAUACCCUUGUAGUC
rnacentral:rRNA from 1 species